UCUCUAAAUGAUCCAGUUAUGUU
rnacentral:miRNA from 1 species